rnacentral:lncRNA from 1 species
GGCAAGACUAAUAUUGGGGUUAUCAUACAUCAAGAGGUAAUGAAAUAUAAUGUGUCAGAGGUGUCCAGUUGGCCUAUGCCAAGUUAUGCCAUAUGAACCACAUCCUUGCCCCAUGAUCGUUCCAGAUGCACCAAGGAGCUCAUGCCAGAAUGCGCCAAAAGACUGAACCAGAUAUUUGUAAUUCAAGCCAGAAUCCAGCUUUGGUGCACCAAAAGCA